rnacentral:misc_RNA from 1 species
GACGCGAUCGAGCGCGAUGUGCGCUGGCUGGGCUUCGACUGGGGCGAGCAUCUCCAUUUUGCGUCCGACUAUUUCGAACAGCUUUAUGCCUGGGCGCAGCACCUGAUCCGCGCAGGCAAGGCCUAUGUCGACGAUCAGACGNNNNNNNNNNNNCACCCUGACCGAGCCCGGACAGAACAGCCCUUUCCGCGACCGGUCGGUUGAGGAAAAUCUCGACCUGUUCGGCCGGAUGCGCGCGGGUGAAUUUCCGAACGGCGCGCGCGUGCUG